GCCGGCCGGCGAGCCGUCAGUUCCUCGCCGAACAUCGCGACGCUCGCCGCCUCGCUAUAUUUCCGCACGCGUUCUCACGGGUCACCUGACUUGUUCCGUUUACCAGGACAGUUCGCAGUGCUCCGGACCUGAUUGUCUGUUCGUUGCAGGUGACCCAGUGUGGUGGUAGCGGGAUUACUGGACGUGACGGAAUUCCUGUGAGCAUCAUGUGCGUUGACGCCGGCCGGACCGACGCCGCGUGUUAUGCAACCUCUCAAACAAAACAUCCGCCUCUAUUGUCCCCACCAACCGUGAAAGCACAAUGCUGAGCUGAUGUUACAAUAUUUCAGAUGAAUUGAACGUGACUCUACAAGGAGCCUCGAGCUGCACUCUGACAAAAAAAAAUAUUUCAAAAAAUCAUAGAACAAAUUCAACUCCUUAUAUUCGUAAAAACCGACUGAGAGAUUGCAUCCUGUCUAAAGUGCCAUACAUAUUGAAUUAUAAAAAGGGAACUAUUAUAAUGGCCUCUCUGGUCUAGUGGUUGAGCGUUAAGCUCACGUUCUGAGGUCCCGGGUUCGAAUCCCGGUGGCGACAUAUCCGGCGUCCGGUGCCAAUGUGCGAUCCCUAGUUUGCUUAGGACAUUGCUUGCUCGAUUAUCCGAGAGCAAGAUCUGUUUGUGGAUAUUAUCUGGGUUCGAUUCCCAUUGUGUGUUCACAUUUUUGCAACUUUGCUUGUUUAAAUGCUACAUAGAAAUCCGUCGUUUUUAUACAAACUCCUGGCGGGUUAAAAAGACUACAUGGAAGCAAUUCAUCUAAGAAAGCAAUACGCACUUACCUUUGCGCAAAAGUUAAAUAGCAAUAUUACUUUUUAGAUGAAUUAUUUUGAUGAAACUUUUUUAACGCCUUUGCUCACUGUCUUGCGACACCGCUUCUACGUAUGUGGUACUUUCUAGCUUUAGAAAUCAAAGAUAUGGCAGAACUGACUGACAGAGAGAGACACUGCAGUGGAGAACAGAAGAGUUAGAAUUACUUCUAGAAUCCAAGCACAUUAUUUUGAGGACUAUGAAUAAGUCCUUGUUCUCAAAACGAUGUUUUUGGAGCAAACGUGUAUCGUCGAGUACUCCCAUAAUUGAUGUAUCAAGAAGUUUUGCGUUAAGAUGAUUCAAAAUGAAAUUGGAUCUGAAGAGAAGAUAUAUAAUGGGGUAAGACCGCGUUGGCAGUGUGGUUAGCUGGUUGUUAGUUGGUUACAACAGCCACUAACGACACUGUCCCUGCGUUCACCCCAACACAUCGGGUUCGUCGCAACGCAGCGAUGAAGAGUUACAGCUUCAAAAAUAUCAGCUUUAAUAUACUUUCAAUAAGGCCGCCCAAAUUGUAGUGUAUUCAUGUGUUAUGUCUGAUUGUUGGAAUUUUUUUCUAUGCAUUAAGGUAUAUUUGUUUUGCUUUGAUUUGACUUUCUGUGCCUACUAACUCUGUCCUUAUGAGAAAAAAGACUCCGUCCGUAGCUUGAUUAAUUUGACAGCUGUCAAAACAAUAUUAUAUUUUAUAUUUUUCCUGGGAAAUGGUUUGAACCAGUGUAACUGGGUCGGAAGGGUCUCUUGUUUUAGGCUAUUUGCUGUCUUUAUUAUACAAGCUAGAUUUAACGGAGUCUAUGAUCAAAAUUGUGUUUUUGUAAAAAAGUUGAAUUAUUUAUUGAUGAAAAGCGACUAUCUUAGAUUAAGUGAACUUGAAGCUACCAACUAUACAAGUUUUGUAAUCUUAUGUCUAUACAUAAGUCAUUGUCGCUUGAAGACGUUUCUUUAAGUACCUAUAUUUUUGCAACGCCUGUUAUUGUGUAAUUAGCGAUGAUUCUUAAAACCAUCGAUCAUUUAUGUACUUACUUAUAAUGUGAACCUAUCCUCGUAUUGUAUUAAAGUAUAAAAAAAAAUAUUUUUAAGUUCCGUUAAUCUUGUAAUGUUACUUAUUUAACGAAUUGUUGUAACAUUUGUAACUAAAAUAAAGAAAAAUGUAUGACAUGUUUUAAACGCUAUGCGAAUGAUUGCCGAUCUGUAUUAAAUGUGCGUUAUUUAUAAUAAGCUUAUUAUAAUAAAUAUAUAAUGUUACGAAUGCAUUCUAUGCCGGCCGCGAUGGCGACGGAAAUAGGUAUUGCCUUCAGGUGCAUUUAUGGGCCCGCGGCCAACUCGUGCGGCAGACAACGUAUUGGUACAUGUUUACUGUCCCAUGUAUUUGUGACAUCAGUUGACCAACUAACCCUUUCUUUGUAAACAUCUUCAACCUGUAUCUUUGUAAUAUACAUCAUAAACAACUUCUUUGGUUUGUCCCACCCAGUAUUUCAUAAUGCGCGUCAAGGUGCAUCAGCCUCCGUGGUCAAGCAAACACUGGGCUUACGAUCUUGAAGUCUGCGUUCGAUUCCCGAUAGGGACAUUGACGAAAAUCGCCUUUGAGACUGUCCUUUGUUUGGCUGCAGGCUCUCGCCAGGUUGUUCGAAAAAGUAAGAUUCCGCGCUUCGGACGGCACGUUAAACCGUCAGUCCUACUAGCCCAAAUGCCUCCAACAACCCGCACUGGAGCAACGUAGUGGAGUAUGCUCCGUACCCCUUCUGAUUAAUCACGGGGAGGCCUGCGACGUAUACAGGCUAUGUAUGUUACGUAAAUGGACAACGUAAAAUCGGAGGAGGUAUGUUAAUAUGUGCUCAAUGAGUAAAGUAUGUAUCAUCACAAAGUGCAUGAAAUUAUUCCAAAACGAAAACUGUUAUAUAUAUAAGCA
rnacentral:lncRNA from 1 species